UGCCCAGUUGGUCAAGGUCCUAGCUAC
rnacentral:piRNA from 1 species